UACGUAGGGUGCGAGCGUUAAUCGGAAUACUGGGCGUAAAGCGUGCGCAGGCGGUGAUGUAAGACAGUUGUGAAAUCCCCGGGCUCAACCUGGGAACUGCAUUCCAAACUGGAUGUCUAGAGUGCAGGAGAGGAGAGUGGAAUUCCUAGUGUAGCGGUGAAAUGCGUAGAAGAUUAGGAAGAACACCAGUGGCGAAGGCGACUCUCUGGACUGUAACUGACACUGAGGCUCGAAAGCGUGGGAGCAACAGG
rnacentral:rRNA from 1 species